rnacentral:rRNA from 2 species
CUUGCUCCAGCAGGUCAGCGGCGGACGGGUGAGUAACACGUGGGCAACCUGCCUGUAAGACUGGGAUAACUCCGGGAAACCGGAGCUAAUACCGGAUAGUAUCUUGAACCGCAUGGUUCAAGUUGGAAAGACGGUUUCGGCUGUCACUUACAGAUGGGCCCGCGGCGCAUUAGCUAGUUGGUGAGGUAAUGGCUCACCAAGGCAACGAUGCGUAGCCGACCUGAGAGGGUGAUCGGCCACACUGGGACUGAGACACGGCCCAGACUCCUACGGGAGGCAGCAGUAGGGAAUCUUCCGCAAUGGACGAAAGUCUGACGGAGCAACGCCGCGUGAGUGAUGAAGGUUUUCGGAUCGUAAAACUCUGUUGUUAGGGAAGAACAAGUGCGAGAGUAACUGCUCGCACCUUGACGGUACCUAACCAGAAAGCCACGGCUAACUACGUGCCAGCAGCCGCGGUAAUACGUAGGUGGCAAGCGUUGUCCGGAAUUAUUGGGCGUAAAGCGCGCGCAGGCGGUUUCUUAAGUCUGAUGUGAAAGCCCCCGGCUCAACCGGGGAGGGUCAUUGGAAACUGGGAAACUUGAGUGCAGAAGAGGAGAGUGGAAUUCCACGUGUAGCGGUGA